rnacentral:lncRNA from 1 species
GUGGUCUUGAGUACCACUUCAGUACUCCCCAUGAAUCUCUGACCGACCUCGUCCCAACAGAUUGGGGUCCUGCACUUCCUCCCAUAGAGCAUCUCAAAGGGAGGUCGAUCUAUGCUAGCAUGUUAGUUGUUGUUAUACGAAAAUUCCGCUAACGGAAGAUAUGUAUCCCAACUGCCUCCAAAAUCCAAUACACACGCACACAGCAUGUCUUCUAGAGUUUGAAUCGUCCUCUCACUCUGUCUGUCAGUCUGAGGGUGGAAAGCGGCACUAAUGUGAAGAAGAGUACCCAUCUCGUCGUGAAACCGCUUCCAAAAUCUGGAAGUGAAACGAACAUCUCGGUCUGAUACAACCGAAACCGGCACUCCAUGUCUUGCCACUACCUCACGUACGUAGAUCUCGGCUAGCUUCUCAGCCGAUAUACUCUCCUAGAUUGGGAUAAAAUGAGCACUAUCGUUCAACCAAUCCAUGAUGACCCAUAUCGAUUCUACUCCACGUGCGGUCUUGGGAAGCUUCGUGAUGAAAUUCAUAGUGAUAUCUUUCCAUUUCCACACGGGAAUGUCCAAUGGUUGCAUCUUGUCGUGAGGUCGCUGGUGUUCGGCCUUGACUUUCCUGCAAGUCAAGCAUCGUAUACAUACCAUGCUAUGUCCCGCUUCAUGCAGGGUUACCAAUAACCAGGGCAAAGAUCCCGAUACAUCUUUGUCGCCCCGGGAUGGAUAGAGAACCUCGACUUGUGGGACUCAUCCAUCAAAACUUGUCGUACACCGCCCCAAUACGGAACUCAGACCCUCCUAUGCAUGCCCACGACUGUCAUAAUUAAAUGAGGCCACAUGGCUUACGAUCUGCUCACACUUUCGGCGCUCUUCCUUCAUACCCAUGACUUGUGCCUCCCGGAUCCGUUCUAGUAACGGAGUAAUCACUUUCAUCCUCAGACAUAUGUCUUGUAUCAGUGUUGUCACUGCCUUGAGGCUAAGAGCAUCAGCCACCAUAUUGGCCUUCCCUGGGUGAUAAAGGAUCUCGCAUUCGUAAUCAUUCACCACAUCUAACCACACUUCGUUCAAACCCAUGGAAAAGCGUGAACUUUUUACUAGUUAACAUAUAUGAAAUGAAUCAAUAAAAAAUAAACAUAGAAGCAACGAACUAACUGAACUAACUAAUCUAUUUGGUAAAUUCAUAAAAUACCCUUAUACAUAACUAACUUGUAAUAGAAUUUGUAAGGAGAAGUAUGAUGUGGCUAACAUCCCCCCUCAAUCUUGUGGAAAUAAACGAACACUAAGCUUGUUGAAAACAUCAUAAUGUUUUGAACCUUGAAGAUUUUUGGUGAAGAUAUAUAUAUGUUAUCAUAUGUGGAAACAUGAGACAAAUCAAUUAGACUUGCUUGAACUUGUUCUCGAACAUAGUGGCAAUCAAGUUCAAUAUGUUUGGUUCGCUGGAGAAANNNNNNNNNNNNNNNNNNNNNNNNNNNNNNNUAUAUAUAUAUAUAUAUAUAUAUAUGGAAGCUUGAUUUUCAUUUAAGAGGGAUCGGUGUAAUAUUUGGUACUUCAAAUUCUUGAAACAAUCAACUUAACCAAGCCAAUUCAGCACAGACGUGACGCAUGGAUCUAUACUCAUCCUCUGUAUAUGAUAAAAAAAAAACAGUUAUUUGUUUGUUAUAUUUCCAUGAAAUUGGUGAGCCUCCAAAAGUGAUGAAGUAUCCACUCACUGAUUUUCGAGUUAUGGCCUAUGGGACAAGAAGCCUAGUCGGAAUCGUAAAAAGCUUCCAUUUUGGAUUGUUUUUUAUCAUUAAAAUAUAAUGUUUGAUUGAUUGUUCCUUUUAGGUACUGAAGUACAUGAAUAACUUCUUAAGAUGAUCUUGUGAAUAUGACUUGUUAAAUUGGGUUAAAUAUUGAAUAGAGAAUGACAAAUAAGGACGAGUAUGUACAAGAAAGUUGAGUUUCCUAAUCAAUUUCCUAUAAAUUGUGGGAUCAGACAAAGAUUAUUGGUUGUAACUUGAUUUGAUAAGGUAAAGGAGAUUUUUUUUUAUCUUGUAUGCCAUAAUUAUGUCUCAAUUCUUAAAGAACUUUCGUUGAUGUACAGCCAUACCACCUUUAAUUUUAUUGAACGCAAUUUCUAACAAAUAAUGGAGAAGACCAAAAUCCUUUAUUUGAAAUUUGUCAUCUAAAAAGGUGUUUAGCUUGAUAAAAAUUUAUGUAUUAUUGCCAGUCACCAAUACAUCAUCAACAUAGAUUGAUACUAUGAAAAUUGUAGAAUAACUCUUUUUAAGGAAAAAAGAAUGAUCAUUAGGUGAAUCUGAAUAACCUUAUUCUCUCAAAACAACAGAAAUUUUGGAGUACCAUUGUCUUGAAGCUUGUUUCAAGCCAUAAAGAAACUCUUUCAAAUUGCAAACCUGAGAUGGAGAAGUCAAAGGAUGACCUUAUACUUCCUCAUGUAAAUCCCCAUGUAAGAAGGCAUUGUUGACAUCAAAUUGAUGCAUGUCCCAAUGUUGUUUGACUACAAGAGCAAUGAGACUUUUAAUUGUCGUGAAUUUAAAAAAUGGGGAAAAGGUCUCAUGAUAAUGUAUUCCUUCCUUUUGAGUAGACCUAGAAAUGGGGCGGGUUUGGAGCGAAUCUACCUUGAUCCAAACCCUUUUAAUAAAUUCCAAAAUCCGAUCCAAAUCCGCUCCAUAACCCGCAGGGUUUUGAAUAAUCAAACGCAUACCCUUGUCCACCGAAUCAGCAGAUAUCCAAACCCGCCCCAUAACCCGUAGGUUUUUUGAAUAAUCAAACACAUUUUACUUAAAUCAUAAAAUCACAUUUGUUAAAUAAAACAAAUGUUGAUUUAGAAAACACAUUAUGUAGUCGAAAACUUUCGAUUGGAAUUAAAAUCAUUAUUGUAGUUACUUCCAAUUGGUUUUUGACCCUCGAUUGCAUUGAUAGAGAAUAACAAUUACAAACUUUCUUCCAGUUGAUAAAUGAAUUUAUUGAUUUAUAAAUGAAAUUGGUGAUUACAUGAUGAAAUAUAAAUGAAAUGACAUCAUGAUUUUUGGGAGAAGAAUGAAAAUCUAAAAGUUGAUUCCCCAAGUCCUAUGUAUAAAUAGUUUAGUCUUUGGCCUUUUCUAUUUGGACUUUAGAUUAGAAUUUAAAGUAAAAUUUAGACAGUUUAAAAUAUAAAUGUAUAAUUUUAAAAUUUAUAUGGGGCGGGUUAUAAAUGGAGCGGAUCGGUGAUGAUCCAUACCCGACCCUUUUAAUAAAAGGGUUAGCGGUACGGGUCGUUAACGGGUAAACGGAUCAAAAACUAUGCUCCAAACCCGUAUAAUUGUUAAGUGUUUGGAUCAGAUCAGGGUCAAAACCCGCUCCAUUUCCAGGCCUACUUUUGAGUGAAUCCCUUUGUCGCUAAUUCGGUCAGCCAUAUGCUUUAAUUUUGACUUUAUAGAACAAGCAAUUGACCUUUUUCCUUUAGGAGGUUUGACAAUGUGCCAUGUCAUAUUAGCAUCAAGUGUAAUGGUUUCAGUUUGCAUAGCCAUUUACCACUCUAUUAUACCUUUUUCUUGAUGAUUAAAUGAAGGAUGAAAAGGAAUAGAUGUCAAGGAAGAAACUUAAGACAUUUGAUUGUCAAUAUAAUGAUGUUGAAAAUUCUCACUGAUACAUAAACUCGUAAUAGUAUGCAUACAAAGAUAUGUAGAUUCUUAUGAUGUAACAUGAGUGCAUAUAUCAUUCAUGUAGGAUGGUGAAAAAUAAAUUAUAUUGCUUCUUUAUAUCUUAGGACAAGGGUAGAAUGGUCAUUUUCUGGAAAAGUUGCAUUUUGAGUAGAAAUGGGUAUGAGUUAUGAAUGCUCAAUAUCAUAUGAGGUAAUAGAGAUAUAGGAUAUGGAUAAUGGAUGUUUAAUAGCAUGCAGAGGAAAUAUAUUACUUGAAAUCUCUUGAAACAUGAAUGUUUUGAUUGAUCAAAUUAAGCACUUUAAAAGCUUUUUGACCAUGGGAAUAUCCAAGAAAGAUACAAGAGUGUGCCCUUGACAUGAAUUUGUCUCUGUUAACAGGUCUGGAAGACACAAAAAAAACGCAUCCAAAUGUUUUCAAAGUUGUGAAAUCAUGAUCUUUGUUAUACAACAACUGACAAGGGGGUUUGUUGUAAAUAACCUUGGAAUGAAGUCUAUUAAUGAUGUAAACAUCCGUUUUAGUACAUUCACCACAAUAUGAACUCCCAACACUAGAUUAAAAGUAUAAUGCCCUAACAACUUCAGGAGUGUAUCUAUGUUUUCUCUCUACUAAACCAUUUUGUUGAGGGGUAUGACGGGAUAAUUUCUGGAGAAUUAUACUAGUUGUUUGAAAGCAAUUUUGCCCAUCUAAACUAUAUCCAAUCUCUUUUCCAGUGUUAGUUUGAAUACAUUUGAUAGUGACUUGUAAUUAGGUUUGAAUGAAGGUCACAAUGGAUUUUAUUAAAGUAAAAGCAUAGCUUUUGUGAUUUAAUAAAUGACUCCAAGUGUGUCGUGUAUAAUCAUCACUAAUGGUUAGAAAGUAUUUAUACCCAUCAUGAGUUUGAUGUUUAUAUGGACCCUAUACAUCAACAUAAAUAAUAUCAAAAAUAGAAUUAAUGUAUGUAACACCAUGAGGAAAAGAUGGUCUAGUUUGUUUGGCUUAAGCACAAGUAAUACAAGCAUCAAUAUCAGAAAGAGUAUAAUUAGGAAGAUACAUAAUAUGUUUCAAUGUAUCUAAAGAAACAUGACCAAAUCAUUAAUUUGUGCCACAUCAUAAUGUUUGAAUGAGAAACAUAUACAUGAUGUAAAAAAGAAAUUAAAGAAACAUAUAAAGUGUAUGACAAAUUGUGUUUGAGAUGAUCAUAAUCAAACACAUAUACAUCAUUUAUUCUCUUCCUAACAACACCAAGUGAAAUUCUAUUCUUCAACAAAGGGUCAUGCAUGAUACAUGUCUCAUCAGUGAAUAAAACAAAGGUGUGAAGUUGUGAUGUAAGUUUGAUUAUGGAGACAAUGUUAAAUCUGAACGAAGGAACAUAUAGCACAUUAUGCAAUAGAAUAGAUUUAUGAAGUUGAACAUCACCAUAAUGUGAAACAGGAAGAUUGGAUUCAUUAGGUAGCCUAAUUCUACGUGGAUGAGAAAACUUAGUCAUAGACACAAAAAUAUUGGAAUUAGAGGACAUAUGAUUUAUAGAAAUAUGUUGUUUAAGAAGAGCAUGUGAUUUAUAGACAUUAGAAGAAAAAUGAGCAUAAGAAAAGAAAUUAGCAUUAUGAAGCAUAAGCCUUAGGUUCAUCCUUUUUUUACUUUGGUGAAUUUAAAUGUGGAAGGAAAGCCAGUCAACCGGUAUCACCGAGAUUUGGAAUUACCAGACUUCAAUGUCCACAGAGUAAUGUUUUCUUGGAUGAAUUAUAUGAUUGAUUGAUAGAUACUUUCAUAGGAAUGACAUCAAGAUAAAUUGCAUGUAGAGGAUUAAUGUCUCUUUGACAUUCUUCUUGAAUGAUCAUUGAGUAAACAGUGGAAACACUUGGUAAUGGUUUCAUCAUUAUGAUUUGUCCUAUAAUUUCUUUAUAAGUGUCAUUUAAACCCAUGAGCAAUUGAAUCAAUUGUUGAUCAUUAAGAAAUUUUCGAAUACAUGUAAUAACAGCACGAGUAGAAUCUUGAAUACUAGGGAUGUCAAAAAGUCCCGUGGGACCCCGAACCCAUGGGGCCCCGAUCCUGAAUGGGGAAUAUUUGUUUAAAAAAUCGGGGACGGGGGUGGGGGCGGGAGCAAUGUUAACCCCCGUUUUAGUUUCGGGGGCGGGGGCGGGGGUGGGUAGUCCCGUCCCGAAACCCCAAUGGGGACCCCGUUAAUAUAUUAUUUAUAUUAGUAUAUAUUAAUUGUAAAAAUAUAAUAAAUAAUAACAAUGAUUUUGAACUUCCAAAAUUCAAUUAAAUAUCAUGUUUUUAAGUUUAUAGUAUAACGUUUUUAAGAUGUUAGAAUAUUUUUAUUUUAAAUAUAUAAACUUAUGCUAUAAAUAACUAUUUUUAUCCAAAAUGGUUUCUUUUAGCCUAAACANNNNNNNNNNNNNNNNNNNNNNNNNNNNNNNNNNNNNNNNNNNNNNNNNNNNNNNNNNNNNNNNNNNNNNNNNNNNCGGGGGAUGCAAUCCCCGUCCCAUUUGCCCCUGUUGACAUCCCUAUUGAAUACUCUUAACAAUGCGAAUUUCUUCCUAGAUCUUCAUUAACUUUUUGAAAUGGGUUGAGAAAUCAUUAACUAUUUGUUCAUAACGAUGAUUGAGCUCCUUCUAGAUCUCAAAUGAUGUUUGAAGAAACAUAGCACUUUCAGCAAUGUUUGAAUGUAGUGAGUUUAGUAGUUAACUGAUAACCAUAGAGUUAACUUGAUGCCAAUUUGAAUAUGUGGAAGAGUCAGAAGAAGCUUGUGAAAUUGAGCCAUCGAUGAAAGCAAGUUUGUUCUUUGCAUAUGGAGAAAUUUUCAUAAAUCGUUUCCAAGAUGAAAAUUCAUGUCCAUUGAAAACAUGUGAAAUAAGAACAACUCUUGGAUUGUCAGAAGAUCCAAGAUAAUCAGGGCUUGAUACAUUCAUUGCAACAGAUUGAGAUGAAUUUAUCGAAGAAUAAGGAAUCGACGUGAUGAAAAAAAAACAGAUAAAUUUGAAUGCGAAAGGUGAAAGAGAAUCGAUUAGAAAGUUGAUACCAUGUUAUCUUAAGAGAAUUAGAGACACAAAGAAGAAUAUGAACAGGAAUCAAUCGGUUCUCUUCAACAUAAACAAAAUGAAUCAACAACAUAUAUAAAGUAACACAGAGAAGCAACGAUCAUAUGGAAGAAUCACCUUACCUGAUAAAUCGUUUUGAUCAACAGUUUAAUGACACAGCCAGGGGAUUCCUUGGUCAGUGUUGAUUUAUAAAUGCAAUCCAAACAUUAGAGUAUUUGAUAAAUAUGAUAUCUUGUUUCAUCUACGUAUGUGGGUUAUAAAUCCACCCUAGCAAAGUAAUUCACAAGACCAUCUACAAUAAUCCAGUGUUGUCAUCUUACUCUGGUAGAUGACUCAUACACACCCACUUGGUAUCUGAAAGAGGAGGAAUACUGCACUCUACAUCAAACUCAUGCAUUACCCUAGAAUGAGACUACUCACUCUUAAAUUAAAUUUGAACUAAGUAUCCUUUAUAAGUCUUUGUUUGUAACUAGACAAGAUUACAAUACAUGUAGUUAACUUACAAUACUAAUUUUAUGUUCAUGCAAUACUAUCACAAUACAUGGUAUAUGUUUAGUACAAAAUACAAAUAGUAAUCAUUCAAUAUACAUUUAAUCUUUUAAGUAACAAAUACUUUUAUGAAGAUCGUGUUCAUAAAAGUAACUACCCACUAACUAUACAAUAUAUACAUUUAAUCUUUUAAGUAAUAAAUACUUUUAUUAAGAUCAUGCUCAUGAAAGUAACUACGCACUCUACUGAUUAAAGGUGGAAGAUUUGUGGGUAGGUUAGUUCUUCGUUCAACAUUUUAGCUUCCCCUUUUAAAUGACCUCAAUACAAUAUUACUAAGUUUUAGUUUCAUUUAUAUUUAUAUUAUUCAAGAUUAUAUUAACUAUUUCUCAUAUUCUUCAUUAAUCUUAAUGAAUACCAAGUUCUAUCAAAUAAGGAAUGACCAGGUAAGAUGCUAUUAGACGUAUGAUCUGUUUGGUAUAUAAAUAUAUUGUUUGGAAAAUCCACUUUAAACACCUCACUAAGAUCUUACUUAGAAAUUAUGUUCGUAAGUAGAUCAAUCAGUAUUAUAACCAGUACUAGUGAUAAAUCUUAUUUAUAGGUUCAUAACAACGACAAUAAACACAAUAAAAGUUACACUUAACAAGCAUGGUAAGUGCAACUUAUCUUAUCGGAUUGCCUAGCAAAAACUCAAAGGUCCCGCGAGCUAACUUCGACAUUGAAUUCUUCUCCACACAAACUCUCCAACGCUUCAACGUGUAACAUCCCAAAAAUCAAGGUAAAUUUUUCAUUUUCAAAACCAAGCCAAAAACCAUAAAUUUUUACAAACAUAGUUUCCAAAAGUUAUAAUCAUGAAUCAGAGUAUCCCAAAAUCAAAUAUCAUAAAAUACGAAGGAUAUGCACAAUCAAGCCUUCACCUUGCCCCUAAUCUCAGAAGUACCUGAAACCAUAUCAAUCAAACUGUAAGCCAACUCUUAGUGAGUUUCCCCAAAAUACCACCACACAACAUAUAACAACAUGCAUACUAGAUCCACAGUCAUCGGAGUGGAUUACCCCUGAGCCCACAGCAUGAGUCUAGUUGGCCUAUCAGGCCCACAUCUCAUGUCUGGAUUGAUCUCGAGCCCACAACAUAAGUCUGACUUGCCUUUUUGGCCCAUAACUAUGUUUGGCUUGCUACCAGGUUUGUUGUCCUCCGCACAAAGUAGUAUUGCCUCAACCCACACUCGUUAUGUCGACACAUGCAACAAAUAAACAUAUAACCAGAAAGCAGAUAAGCAUGUAGAUUUAACAUAUCACUAUAGCAUAGAAACAUCCUAUAUACAGGAUACAUAACCUAGUUGGUCGGUAUUGGUGCCUUCGACCCACAAGUACAAUGAGGAAAACUUACCUGAAUCACAAAGCCGACUAAAACCCAACUCAAUGUUGUGCCGACCGCUGCUAAUAGAUCUCACCGCCAAGGAUGGGUAUUAAAUACCUCAUAUCAAUCCAUACAAGGCAAACCCUAUGUUUAUCUCCUAAAAUAGAAAUUUGACCAAAAUUCAACUCAUGUCAAAAGUCAACAGUCAAAGUUAACGGCCAAUGUUGACUUUAGCCAACUACCAUGCCGUGCCCUUCCUUGGCCACGUCGUGGCCCUCAUACAACCAGACAUACGGGAAAUUCCCAAUCGCUAGUUCAUGGCGAUCUAUGGCCACGCCGUGGGCAUUGGGUUUCCAGCAGCUUAAUGGAUUAAGUCGGUUUUCUCGAUUCCAAGAACUCCAAAGCUCAAAUCUGGUCCAUUCAAUGGUCUAAAUGGAUAAAUUUUCCAACUUAUCCAUUAAUACACCCAACAAGAUCAAGAUCUCCAACCCUAAGUCCAAAUAAAGCCAAAUACCACCAUGUCUUAACCAUUAAUACCUUAAUAUGAAAAGUCCUUAAUCCAACCACUUCAUAAGGGUUUUCUAAUACCAGAUCCAUCAUAAAGAUGGAAGCUUUAUAGAAAUUUAUGUCUAAUACAUGUCUAGAAUCCAUUUUAGGUCAAAAUGAGCUCUAAAGACCAAAACUCAAGCAAAUGACGAUAACUUCCACCAAAGACUAAAACUAAAACAUAUAAUGCUCUUGAGACUCAGGAGAGUCAUAAAGUUGCCAACUUUAUGAGUUCAUUCCUUCCAAACUUGCUCUAAUAUGAAGGACCUUGGACAAUAUUCAACAUCUAACCACUUAAAUCCAUAAAGCAAGGAACCUAGACACUUAUAAAGGACCAAAGAUGCCCAAAAUAGAUCUUCACUUCAGCCAAAAAGCACCACAAUCCUUUCCAAUGCCUUUUCUUUCUUCAUAAGCACCCAAGGUCACCAAAAUGGACUCACAACUGUCAAGGAGGAAUUUGGGUUAAGGUUUCUAAAACUUGAGGGGGAUAUGAUUUAGAGGGGUUUAAAUAUGAAGAAAACCCUAAAAGAAUCAUGGGCUUGGGCCAGGUGAGCUGUCACGGUGUGGCAACCUUUGGCUACGCCAUGACGAUCCAAAAACACACGCGAUCCAUUAAACAACUUCCAUGUCUUGGCCCUCCUUGGCCAUGUCAUGGCACAAGAUUUCUUCCAAAGCUUCAUCUUUGGUCCCUAAUAAAAGUAAGCUUAACCAAUCUGGAACACGGGUGUUACACAACGCUUCAUUAAAAGAUUCGAAAAGAACGAAGAAAUAAAAUCACAAGGACUGAAAUCCCGAGGGUUGAAAGAGAAAGAAUUAACAAGGAAUAAAUGAGGAGGUGAGUUGUUAUUUAUAGCAACUUUUUUCAAAAGUGUGAUGUGCCUAUGUACGCCGUGCCUUACAUGACGCUUACUGGUGAAGCCACGUCACUCGAUGGUUGUUGGGGUCAUUUUCUCUCCUACUACCAUGUGGUGGCUCGCAGCCUAGAGCUGCCAGCUUCCAGGUAAAUUCUCAUUUUCUUUGGAUAAUUGUAACUUUCACAUACGACCUUCAUUUUCGACGAUUUUAUAUCCUCGGAUUCGUAAUUUCGCAUUCCACAACUUUCAUCAAGACUACUUUGGCUAAAAAGUAAUCUAUUUUCACUUUGAUGUUUAUAAAGAGUAUACAUUGAAAUUAUCUUAUAAAAUUCAUAACUUCUUCAUACGACGUCAUAUUUUGGCGAUCUUUAUACUCUCAGGUUCGUAUUCAUGACUACCACAACUUUAGUAUAAUUAUUUAUUGUUUUAUAUAAGUAACUUAAAUAUUAUUUAUAUACAAAUAACAUUUAGAUAAAACCUCAUAAAUGGUCCCUUUGCUUUUUAGAAAUGUGAGAUAUAGUCCCUAAGUUAGAGGGAAAAAAACCCUCAUACAUAGUCCUUAUGGUUCCAAAACUUUUAACAAACAACCCUUUACAGCUAAUUUCGUUGUAGAUUUAGUCACUUUCAAAAUUAAAAUGAGCUUUUUACCUUUAACAUAUUUAUUUUUCAUUUUUCAUUAUUUCAUUUUAAUAUGUUAUUAUUAUUAAAUACAUAAAUGGCCCACGUCUCUCUCUCUCUUUCUCUCUGUGUGUGUGUGUCUCUCUCUCUCUAUCUCUAUCUCUCUCUGUGUGUAUGUGUAUCUCUCUCUCUCUCUCUCUCUCUCUCUCUCUCUCUCUCUCUUUCUUAUGGUUUCUAUUUUUUUUAAUAACCUUAAUUAAAAUACAUAUAAAAAAAAUAAAAAGGGUAUAUAAGUCUUUUUAUAUGGGUGGGAGACUAUUUUUUAAAAGUUUUGGAACAAAAUGAACCAUCUAUAAGGUUUUUGAACUUGUGGACUAUAUCUCAGAUUUCUAGAAACCAUAGGGACUAUUUAUUAAGUUUUGUCUAACAUUUAUAUAAACACAUAUACAAAGAAUUCUUAUUUAUUUCUUUAUAAAAAAAUUUACAUUAGUUAUAUUAUUAACUAACCUAAAUAAGGUUUUUUCCAUGUAAUGUUUAACAAAAAACAGGGGCAUUAUACAUAUGGAAAUUUNNNNNNNNNNAUAUAUAUAUAUAUAUAUAUAUAUGGUAGAAUAGUAUAGAAUAGUCACAAAUAUAUGUAACUUGUAGUAAGAUCUAAAAACUUCUUGAGGAGGUGCAAACACCUAUAAAUGGGGUUGAGUUUAUUUUAUCCAAACAUCCAAUAAACAAUUCAACAAAUAAAAAUGUAAUAUUCUCUAAAAAUGUAAGUCUUUCUCAAAUGAUCUUAGUAAAAAAUGUUUUCAUUUCACACAUAAAGAGUUGUGCUCAACAGAUCUUAGGAUCAAAAUUCAAAAGGGUGGUUUAGAAUUUAGGGUGUCUAACGGAACAAAUUAUGACACCAGUUUCGAUUGGUGUUUCAAUACUUCUACAAAAAGCCUGAAGGAGGAGAUUGAAGAUGCGUUCGUUAAUAGUUUUAAUAGAAUGUUGAAUAGGAUGUUGCGAUAAACAUUUUCGCAACGAUUUGUAAGGGUUUUAAAGAGACACGGUAUGUCGCUGAUUCUUAAAUAAAUUGACAAAGGCACAUGAGGAAGACAUUUAAAGAAAGAUAAUUUCUUGGUGUUUAUGGUGAAUCGUCAAUUUCAUGUGCAUUUGUCAAUUCCAUUAAAAGUCUUGCAAAACUUUGCGGAGAUGGUUAUUCGACGUUCUUUGCAGACUUCCUAUGAAGUCAUUGAUCUUCGUUAUGACUGAAUACCCAUAGUUGUCUAAAAAUAUCAAAGCAUCCGUCUUGAAUCUCCCACUUAAGGAUUUUUGUAGAAGUAUCGGAACACAUAUCGGAACUAGUUUUGGACUUUUUUUCGUUAGAUACCCUAAAUUCUAAACCACCAUUUUCAAGUUUAAAUUUCGGUCUCAAGAUCUGUCGAGCACAACUCUUUAUGCGUGAAAUGACAAUGCUUUUUAUUAGGAACAAUGAUUUUUAUUAAGACCGUUUGAGAACAACUUACAGUUUGAGAAACUACUACACUAAUUCUUACUUGUUAUAUCUCUCUUUUAAAUACAUAAUUCAUCCGUAUGAAGUCGGAAUUGCUUUAUUUUUUUCCAACAUAUAAUUUGAUGUUUGUAGUUUAUUUUAGACUGUGAAAAUACACAUUUCCGUUGCAAAUCACAAAAUCGGUUCCAUUAUGAAAAAAUAAUUGAAAAAUCAGGACCUACACCGGCACCGGCAAUCCGGUUCUCGGUAUACAAAUUCAAUUCCAGUUUGGUUUCGGUCCGAUUCAAAAGUUCAUCCUUAAUGAUAACCUCCUACAAGUUUAACAAACUUAAUUUUCAUCUGCAUAUGAACAAGCCAAAAAAAUUAAGUUUAUCACUGGUAAUGUACACAACCAUAAUUUGUUCUUUUAAAAACAAGAAAAAAAUGUAAGGAAUCAAACACUAGAGAAACAUACCUCGACAUUGCGGCCAUUGUGCCACAACUCAGCUUGUUGCAUCAAAUCAUUAUCAUACCUAUACACAUCUCUCUGGAGCAUGUUUUAUGCUUCAAAAGAGUUUGAGUAUAGUGGUAAGCAAUAGCAACUCCCGAUGAUAUGUUCCAUCAUACAUUUUUAUGAUUUUUAUCACGAAACAAGGUUACAAUAUUAAUAACCUAAUGCUUCAAGCAUUAUUAGCAUCAAUGUUCAAAUUUUUGCUAUGCUUUGCUACAUUUAUUCAAUCUGAACACCUGUAGUUUGAUGUAUAAGCUAGUAAGCAUUUUUGUUCAAUCUCACAUUCCUAUACGUCUACUAUAUUUUCUGGUUUUACUAAAGAAAACAGAACCCCUAUCUGCCCUAUAAUCUCAUAAUAACAGUGGUGAAUAUUCUAUCAAACUUUACUUGUGUGAAACAGCAAAGCUGUGCAAGCUAACUUAAGCAAAAAAAUAAAAACGAAAUUCAAAACGUUUUUAAUGAUCUGCAAUAUAAAAAUUUAUACGUAGAGAAAUUUAUUUUUCUCUAGCGAUUAAUUGUCUCAACUAAGCGAAACCAACCUCUUAUUCAAAUAAAGAAAAUUAAACUCUUAAUUGUGCAGGGGCCGCGCGAACGCAGGCCCCCACUGCCACAAAUUAUGAUGUAGGUUCGACCACUUGGGCCGACCUUAGGGUAGCACCCCUUCAGAGUGCAAUGAAGGUCACUAACCUAGGCCAUGAGCCAUCUUGACCACCCAUUGACCCCAUCCAGGUAAGUAAGUCUUCCAGACUCCUCAUUCCCGUUUUAUUGAGUUUCUCCUCUCUUUCUCUUUAUUCCACCUGCCGAUGUGGGAUAGUUUAAUAUGCAUGUAUCGUUGGAAGUUUUUUUUUUUUUUUUUUUUUAAUAUUUUUCACACCUUUGCUUUUACAAUUAUAGAAACGAAAUGGAUUGAUAAAGUUUUUAAACAUUUGAUAUUUUGGUUGGCUAGAAACUAGAAAGUACUUCACGACUAUAAGACAAGACAUACUUGGUUCAUUGAACUAAAACUUUAUUUAUUUCUUCUUUUGUCUAGAUACUGUAAUCAUCUAGUGAUAAACUUACACAUACUUUGGUUCAAACUUAUCAUCAGAAUUAUAGUAAAAAAACAUUGAACUAGUACUAGUUAUAAAAAAUUAGGGCAUCCUGAUCAUAUCCUAUAUAGAAAUGGAUUGGGACAUUGAAUUGUUUUAGCCUUUUAGGUGUUUUACACUUUGUUUUUAUUUUAAAAAAAAAAAGUUAUUUUUAACUUGACAAUAAAGAUCAAUCAAAAUAUCUACACAUUAGCAUUAUGUUUAUUUAAUUUUUUCUCUUAACAAUUAUAACUUUGGCAGCCUAAAAAUAAAUUAAUAUAUAUAAUAAAAAUUAUGUUCUCUUUUGUCACGAAAGAACACUUUUUGUUCUGUUUUAUCAUUUGCAUUUUAAUGGAGUAAAUCGUACAAAUGGUUCUUGUCAUUUUCAUUUUUUGGUUUACGUCCCUAAAUGAAUCUUUUCCCACAAAAGGUCCUUAUGAGAGGGUUUUGGUUUAGAUUUGGUCCUGAAAGAUAGACAUCGUUUAAGGGAUUUGUCAAGACAUGUGAUUUGUACGUGGGUGUAAUAAUGUCUUUUUCAUUCCUUAUAUUCCGUCGAUUAGAUAGAUAUCACCAUUAUAUCAUUGUUUGUCAGCACAAUGACCAAAUACACAUUCUAAUUACACUUACCCUCGCAUCAUAUUCUAAAUUUCACAUGAAAAAAAAAAAAAAAAAAAAAAAACUACUUUGCAAAAGCUUUCUUCCAGUGGCAUCAAAUCUUUGGAAUAUUCAAAGGAGUAACCAUUUUUUGUAACAUGUUUUCUUCUUAACAAUUUGCAUGUACACUUAUCGUAGAUGAUAUGGAAAAUGACAAUUUAGCAUAGACCUGGCAAUUCGUGUAUUCGUGUCAUUAAAACGUGUCAACCACGAAUUUGACACGAUACGAUUACACAAUGAGAAAUAAACUUUAUCUCAAUUUUUAAGAUGUAUUCGUGUCGUGUCGUGUCGUGUCUUUUACAGAUCCGUGUCUUCGUGUCUGAAAUUGUCAAGUCUACUUUAGCACAACCGACUAACCAACUGUUCUAUUUGGUCUUAUUUGAUCACUAUUUUUUUUUUUUUUUGCACAUAAGUUAUUAAACUUACAACUUACUUUGUUUAUUAAGUUACACAAAUUGUCCAUAUAGUUUUAGUUUUUUUCAUGGUUGGUCCCUUAUAAACAUCAUUCCCACCGAUACCACCACCGUUCACUUCUAAUAGUAACUAGUGUUCACUUUUAGCAACCCCGUGGUUUUUUAGGCUAUCUUCAUUCUGUAAUUCUGAUUUAUGAACAUCGUUGCAACCUCUAGAAACGAAAUGAAUUAUAAUUGGCUUAUUUGGAUUUCAAUUAAAACUAACGAAAAAAGUUCUCUCUAAAACGAUGAUAUAUAUUUCUAAUGUACCUAUGAUGGCUAUAUAAACAUUUGGUCAUUUUUUCUUGAUUAAUUUCAUGGUUGUUUUGAGACUCAUAUUUAUAUGAUAAGCGUUUUUCAUAGUUGUUUUUCCAUUGUUCCAAAACAAAUUUUUGCGGUUGGUCCAGAAAAUAUGAAAUAAAACUUUCUUGAGAUGAAAAUUUGUUAUAUCCGAUAAACAUGCAACUAACAAACGGUAGCCAAUUAUAUCGAUUCAUGUGUUGAUGCACUUCUCGUAAAUCCCAUCAUAUGUGAAAGAUGAAUAACCGAUUUAAUUCGCGUUUAGCAAUGUGAAUUUUUUUUAAUGAAUUUGAAAUUAUGAUCGCUUUCAUUACAUAAAAAAUGUGUAAUACCAAGUAUUACCCAAAUAUAUUCAUAAUAUUGUUGUAGUAUAAAGGUGUUGCUGAUGAGACACAUCUUAGACACCUUGUUAUUAUUUUUAUAAAAAAUCAACCUAUAAUCAACUUUUUCGGAAAAAAAUGAAAUUUCAACCAAUAAAAAAAUCUUAAAAUCAAAUAGAGUGUCUAAAUGGAAAAAUAGAAUGUCUUUUUAGCCAAACUCAUAACAAAAUUACCCACGACUAACAGUCCAACUCCCUGUCGGAUUUUUCAUCUUCCUCACUAUAAUCGAUACCUUUUAAAGCUUGUCUGUCUUUCGUAUUCUCUUCAUCUUUUCCUUACUAUCCUGCCGGUAAACAUAACUAAAGAUCAAAAAAACGUGGGGUUGUCAAAAGUGAACAGCGACGGUGGCGAUGAUGAACAAUAUUGGUUACGGACCCACCACAAAAGAAAUUAAAACCGGACCAUUUGUGUAAUUUAUAUUAACUAGUUAACUUUGUUAAAAACCAAAUGAUUUAAUAAGGAGAUAAGUUGUAAGUUUGACAUGGGUUACUUAAAUAGACAAAAUUGACAAAUUUAAUGGUCUAACAUGUAAAUAUCAAUUACAGCAUUUCUAUAUUUCGUUGGGCUUUAGGUUUAUCUUAAUUUAGCACAACAGAUCUGAUGUGAAGAAAACUUAAGUGAAUAAAAUUAGGCAGGGGCCGCGCGAACGCAGGCCCCCACUGGCACAAAUUAUGAUGUAGGCUCGACCUCUUGGGCCGACCUUAGAUUAGCACCCUUCCAAAGUGCAAUGGAAGUCACUAGCCUAGGCCAUGGGCCAUCUUGACCACCCAUUGACCCCAUCCAGGU